rnacentral:rRNA from 1 species
CCCCUCGAUGUUCUGGGCCGCACGCGCGCUACACUGAACAGUUCAACAAGUCUUAACCUUGGCCGAUAGGUCUGGGUAAUCUUUGAACGCUGUUCGUGAUUGGGAUAGACCUUUGCAAUUAUGGGUCUUCAACGAGGAAUUCCUAGUAAACGCAAGUCAUCAGCUUGCAUUGAUUACGUCCCUGCCCUUUGUACACACCGCCCGUCGCACCUACCGAUUGAAUGGUCCGGUGAAAUCUCGGGACGGCGGCUUGGUCGCUUGCGUCCGACUGCUGAAACUUGAUUAAACCAUAUCAUUUAGAGGAAGGUGAAGUCGUANCA